rnacentral:rRNA from 1 species
GAUGGACGCUGGCGGCGUGCCUAAUACAUGCAAGUCGAGCGAACAGAUGAGGAGCUUGCUCCUCUGACGUUAGCGGCGGACGGGUGUGUAACACGUGGAUAACCUACUUAUAAGACUGGGAUAACUUCGGGAAACCGGAGCUAAUACCGGAUAAUAUAUUGAACCGCAUGGUUCAAUAGUGAAAGACGGUUUUGCUGUCACUUAUAGCUGGAUCCGCGCCGCUUUAGCUAGUUGGUAAGGUAACGGCUUAUCAAGGCAACGAUGCGUAGCCGACCUGAGAGAGUGGUCGGCCACACGGGAGGUGAGACGCGGUCCAGACUACUACGGGAGGCAGCAGUAGGGAAUCUUACGCAAUAGGCGGAAGCCUGGCGGAACAGCGCCGAGUGAGUGGUGAAGGUCUUCGGAUCGUAAAACUCUGUUAUUAGGGAAGAACAAAUGUGUAAGGAACUAUACACGUCUUGACGGUAACGAGUCAGAAAGCCACGGCUAACUACGUG